rnacentral:lncRNA from 1 species
GCCUCCGACAUAUGUACAUAGCAUAAUUCAAGAUCCAAAUCUCAUAGAAAUUUUUGUAUAUUUUAUGGCUGCAUCUAACCUCCUCGUUAGACUGCCUACGUACCCUCAAUAGGGAUCAAGUCAUUCGUAGUUCAUUGUUUCACUACAAUCGAAUAUUCAUCACAUAAAACGUUUUGUCCCAACAAUAUACCACAAUGCGUAUUAUGCGAUAUAUCAAAGAACAACGACGAAACAAACAUAUUUUCUAGCCAUAUUUAUCAACAAGUCUAAUCAUAACAAAUACAAUGAUAUCCAACAUAACAAUCCCACAUGACGAUUAACAUUUCCACUUCAUCCAUCACAUAAAUCAUCAUGUUUCACAUAUCACCGCAAAUCAUAGUAUGCAACAUCUCAAAGAACGGUCAACGAAGCACAAAGUUAUUCUCUAGCCACAUUGGUCAACAAGUCUAAUCAUAAUGACAACAAUCACAACCAACAUCAUUCACAAUCACAUCAAUCAAUAUCACAUAUCAUAGACCGAAAUGCAGGGCUAGAGCGACACAGUUUGGCUGAAGACUACAUUUCUGGAAAAGGGGAUUUUGGACCAUCCAACAGAAUCAAAGCACCAAAGGGGACUCCGGACCAUCACUC